GACCCGUAAUCCGGGUUGCGGACAGUGUCUGGUGGGUAGUUUGACUGGGGCGGUCUCCUCCUAAAGAGUAACGGAGGAGCACGAAGGUUGGCUAAUCCUGGUCGGACAUCAGGAGGUUAGUGCAAUGGCAUAAGCCAGCUUGACUGCGAGCGUGACGGCGCGAGCAGGUGCGAAAGCAGGUCAUAGUGAUCCGGUGGUUCUGAAUGGAAGGGCCAUCGCUCAACGGAUAAAAGGUACUCCGGGGAUAACAGGCUGAUACCGCCCAAGAGUUCAUAUCGACGGCGGUGUUUGGCACCUCGAUGUCGGCUCAUCACAUCCUGGGGCUGAAGUAGGUCCCAAGGGUAUGGCUGUUCGCCAUUUAAAGUGGUACGCGAGCUGGGUUUAGAACGUCGUGAGACAGUUCGGUCCCUAUCUGCCGUGGGCGCUGGAGAA
rnacentral:rRNA from 1 species